AUACUUACCUGGUGUCGGGAUUACCGUGAUCAACGAGGCGGUGUCUCCAGCAAGAGGCGCGGGCAUUGCACUGCGCUCGUGCUGACUGCUGCCACUACCCCAAACUGGGGCAGAUGGGGCAUGCAAUUUUUGGUAGUGGGGAAUGCGUUCGCGCUAUCCCCC
rnacentral:snRNA from 1 species